UUCAAGAACCAUUUUGCAUUCUCACUACUUGAAAAGGCAUGUCUCUCUCUCUCUCCUCACAUUCUCACUUUCAAGCCAACACAAACCCUAUCACCAUUUUGCAAAUCCCUUCAUGGUGGAAAUCCUAAGCCCCAAUCUUGCGAAGGGUUUAGGAAACAAACUCGGUUAUUGGCUCUACUGUGAGGUGAAUAAGAAACAAACUUGGUUAGGUUUUUUGGUUUGGGGUUUUGAGGAAUUUAGGGUUCGUGUGGUUUGGGUUUUGGGGAUGAAUCAGAGUUUCAAGGCUCAGGAAUCGCAAAUGCUCGUUGCUUUAAAGCAGAGGGAGCAACAAUUUGGGGUUUGAGGGCUUCCGUGAUGAAGGAGAAUGAGGGGGAACUCGCAUUGUUUUUGAAGAUGAAGAAGCACGAGAAGGAGUGCAAUGACCUUCUUCUUAACUGCUCAGAGGAGUUCAAUGCACCUCUCGUUCAUAUAUGACCUACCCAAUAGGCUAAGCAAGUGCAUCAAGUUGGAGGCCUAUGCAGAUGCAAUCAGGUUUUACAUUGGAACAAUGCCAAUUUUUAAGGUUGUGGUUGGCUUAUAUGCUUUCGGAUUCAAUCCCAUGAUUACUUUUAAACACAAUGUAUUAAUCAAGGGCUCAAAUGAAAUAUCUUGUUUCCCUCCCUCUUUAUCAGGCAUAUGGAGAUUCUUCAUUUCGGGAUUGUAAGCAAGCUUCUGUAGAAGUAAUAGUUGUUGUAGUAAAAAACUUGCAUGUAUAGUUCUUAUACUUGUGUUUGACUUUUUGGACAUGAACCAUGAGCCAAAAUGCAAGUAAGGGGACACUAUGGAUUUCUUUAUCUAUUCCUUUUUUGAAAUUAUUUUGGGCAUGUAGAUAAAUAACAACUUAUUUAAUUGUUAAGUUAUUAUUUUGUUGUAUCCUACCUCCCUUGUAAAACAACAAUAUUAGCUUACAUGUUAUGAGGCUAUUUGCGGAUAUCUACAUGCUAUCUUUUUUUGUUAUUGAAUUCAUAGUAAAAUUGGAUAGAAUUGGCUUACCCUGUCCAACAUUUAUAUUCUUCCAAACAUGGAUAAAACUUUAUGAAGUUAAUAGAUCAUUGUUAACAUACAUCUCUAAUAUUUUGUUGAAUAAUAGUUGAUGCUCAAUUGUUUUUAACAGAAGCUUGUUAACAUGAUUUGACAUUUUUCUUUCUAACUAGGGGAAGCUAUUUUCAGAUUUUGAAUCAAUACAAGUGAGAGCUUAUGCAACAGUGCUUCUUAAGCAGUUGGAUUUUUCGGUUUGUACUUCUUUUUUAAAAAAAUAGAAGUGUUAUUUUAUCCCAUGUUUUCUGUUAUAAAAAAUCAAUGAGAUAGGUUUUUAUUUAUUAUUAUUAUUAUCAUCAAAUGAAAGAGAAGAUUAAUAUAGUGCUAAUUUAAAUUUGAGCAUUUCAAUAUUUCAGUCAAAAGUGAUUAUUUUUGCUUAUUAUAAAGGCUAUUUAAUAGCUUUCUCUUAAUUCUAGUUCUAGCACAUUUACCUUAUACAAGGAUUGUUCAAAAAGUCUUGCACUUGUGUUUAAAGGAGAUGAGGCAAUGGUUACUGCCAUUUCAGAGGAUCCUUUGAGUUUUAAGGUAUUUCUUUCUAUUUUACAUGGAACUUGAGGCAUAUAUGGAUAAUUCUAGCUGCAAUAUUGUCAAGAGACUCAAGAGUGUUGUUUGAAUGGAAUCUAAAGAAUUGCAAUGUGUGUAUAACCUUCGAGUUUUAAGGUAUUUCUUUCUAUUUUACCAAUAAUAUGUUGUGUGUGCAUGUCAAUGUGUGUAAAACUUUCUUUAGCUCAUGAAGUACUAUUUAUAUUAGUGUUAUGAGAACCACCUGGUUUGGAUUUUCUCUAAUAACCUAGAGUGACCAAAAUGAUCGUGUUCUUGAGAUUCCUAGCAGUAGUGUCAAUAGUGUGAACUAAAUGCCAAAUGAUUAAGGGAAAUGGAUUGAGUUUUUAAAUUUGGUCGUUUAUGUGCAGGACCAACCCUAAAAUCCUUCUCAAUUUGGUGAGAUCCAUAGCAUUUGAUAUCACUAUAUAGUAAUUUCUACUUGGGUUUUUUUUCCUACUUGCUUUUGGACUUCUCAAGUGCUAAUUGGUGUGAGUUAAGGUUACGUAAGUAGGUUGUUGCCAUGUGCUUGGAAUAUUUGUUAUACUUGCUUUACCAGUAUUGAUUCAUUUUAGUGAAGUACACAAUAUCAUUGGAUCCCAUCUUGAUACAUUCUAAAAACAUUUAUAUUAACCGCUAUUUGAGAAGUCUAAACUUUUGAUCUAACUUUUAUUGAUUAAAGUCCAACUGAAAAAUUUAAAGUAAUUUUUGAUCUCAUAUUUAAAUUUUUUUAGUGCUUUUUAUGUGAUUUUAGUGUUUUUUAUGUGCCUUAGAAUUUUUUUAUUAUAUGGUCAAUUUAUUUUGCAGCUUUGCUAUUAUAUGGACAUGUUCAAUCUUAAAUUCACUUGGUGCCUAUUCUCACUUUGAUCAUUGGCUUUUGACCCAAGUCUUCUAUGGCCAUGUGUUAGUAUCUGUUUUGUUUAUUCUUGCAUGCUAAACAUGGAUAACUAACACAUGGAUAGACAAUUGAAUUAAAAACAGGUGAAGGAUAAUUUCCAAUACCUUGUUAGGUGCACCGACUUACUAAAUAAAAACUCUAUGCUUUUAGACUAUUUGUGUUUUUGUGGUCAGAAUUGCCAGUUACCCUAGUAGAAGUGUUACACAAGCAGAUCAAACCUUGUUAAGUGUUUAGCUAGAAAAAAAAAGAAUUAAAUUCUCAGUCUGUGAAAAGUUUAAAUAGGUUCUUAUAUUAGUGAUUAGUCUUCUUGGUUAUUAUAACUUUGGACAUCAAAAUGCUUAAAAAGGUUUCCAUAUCUAAGUCUAGGUUGACUAAGAUAGACUUUAUGCUUCAAUGCAAGUCCAGACUACCUAUUCAGUGAUGUGGGGAUAAUCUCUUGUUGCCUGCUUUUAUUUCAUUUCUUUAAUUUCACCUGUAUAAAAAAAGUACCAUUAUUGUUAGUAUUUUAUAAAAAAAUAGUGUGAUGUAAAUUCUUCUUGUUGAAUAUAUAUUAUUUUUUCAAAGAAUUGUUCUUUCAUUCCUUGGAGGCCAUUAAUGUCUUCCAAAAAACGUGUUUCUCCUAAAUUAGUACAUGUAAAUUGAUCAACUGACUAAUUUAAUUUUUCUUCUCCUUUUCUUUUUCAUUUGCAGCUCAUUGCAGUGUUGAUACCAAUAGUAGGUCUUGGUGCUUUCCUCUUGUGGGCAGGACGAGACAUAUGCAAGACACUAUAAAGAUCCUCUCUGAAUGAUGAUUUGCAACUAUGCCCUUUUUGUGGUCAACCUUUUUCUGAAAAAGAUUAAGGUAAAGCAAUUGAUGUUGAAACUGAAAUUAAAGAUGUGGACUAAGUCUUCACAGCUAUAACAUGUUGGUCGGAUUCAAGAGUGAUGCAAUUAAACAAAUGGGAGCUCGAUCGAUUCCAAAUUAGAGGCGAAUUUUGUGCAUGCACAAGAUUGAUUUAUUAGAGAAAAAGAAAGACUUAUGGAAGGUUGCUAAAGAAUUCAAAGAUCUCUCUGGAUAUGGAAGGCAAUUUGACAACCCUGGGAAGAAGAUCCAUUUACCAUGAGAUGAGUAAGCUAUUAGAAGUUGUACGUGAAAGGUUAUUAGACCACAUACAUUAGGUAGUUGUUGAAGCCAUUGAUUCUUCUAAUAUAUAGCUAAAAUUUGUAAGAAAUAUAUUAUAUGGCUAAUAGUGUUACAAUAUUUUAUAUAUUGCCAAGCAUACUUAUCAAUUCAAGA